UGCCUUAUCAGCUGUCGAUUGUAGUUUCUGCGACUACCAUGGUUGUCACGGGUAACGGGGAAUCAGGGUUCGAUUCCGGAGAGGGAGCCUGAGAAACGGCUACCACAUCCAAGGAAGGCAGCAGGCGCGCAAAUUACCCACUCCCGGCACGGGGAGGUAGUGACGAAAAAUAACGAUACGGGACUCUUACGAGGCCUCGUAAUCGGAAUGAGUACACUUUAAAUAUUUUAACGAGGAACAAUUGGAGGGCAAGUCUGGUGCCAGCAGCCGCGGUAAUUCCAGCUCCAAUAGCGUAUACUAAAAUUGUUGCGGUUAAAAAGCUCGUAGUUGCAUUUGUGCGCCGCGCUGUCGGUGCACCGCAUCCGCGGUGAUACUGACACGUUUGCGGAGCAUAUCGUCGGUGAGCCGACGGUAAAACGUCGGUUCAAUAUCAAAAUCCUAUCGCGGUGCUCUUCAGUGAGUGUCGAGGUGGGCCGACAAUUUUACUUUGAACAAAUUAGAGUGCUCAAAGCGGGCUCAAAAUGCUGCUUGAAUAUUUCGUGCAUGGAAUAAUAGAAUAUGAUCUCGGUUCUAUUUUGUUGGUUUUCAGAACUCCGAGGUAAUGAUUAAUAGGGAUAACUGGGGGCAUUCGUAUUGCGACGUUAGAGGUGAAAUUCUUGGAUCGUCGCAAGACGAACAUCAGCGAAAGCAUUUGCCAAAGGUGUUUUCAUCAAUCAAGAACGAAAGUUAGAGGUUCGAAGGCGAUUAGAUACCGCCCUAGUUCUAACCGUAAAUAUGUCAUCUAGCGAUCCGCCGACGUUACUACAAUGGCUCGGCGGGCAGCUUCCGGGAAACCAAAGAUUUUGGACUCCGGGGGAAGUAUGGUUGCAAACCUGA
rnacentral:rRNA from 1 species